GCCCCAGAAAUGCUACAGAAUUUGCACAAAAAAACACUAUAUGCAGAAUACAUUUCAUCACGGACAAUUUCGAUUGAAGACUCCUCAUAAACUUUCCUGUGUGUCCACCACCCAAAGGACAUCCCGCCAGCUUGACCCAACUGUGGGAAGCAUUGGAGUCAACAGGGGCCAGCAUCCCUGUGGAACGCUUUCGACACCUUGUAGAGUCCAUGCACACAGUGAUUGGAAAAUAAGGAGCUGAUAUGCUGAACACUGAUGUUGCAUAUAAGGACAUCCAGGACAUACUGUACAUAGCAGGCGGUGUCUGAGGAAGGUGCAAAAAUUGUCCAGAGACUCCUGCGACCCCAGCCAUAGACUGUUCACUCUGCUAUCGUCUGGCAGGUGGUACCAGAGCAUUUGGUCUCGGACCAACAAGCACGAGACAGCUUCUAUCGCCAAGCACUGAGACUUUUGAACAGCUAAGCAAUGGCUACCCAUGCUCAUCCACGGUCUAUCUGCACUAACUUUAUGCCACUCACGAGUCUUUACCCACACACUCACACACGCCAACACGGACUCUACUGCACACACACUCAAAUACUCACACACACACACACACACACACACACACACACACACACACACACACACACACACACACACACACACACACACACACACACACACACACUAAUAAUAAUACACACACACACAUACACCCACUACUUAUGCUGCUGCUAUGUUGAUUAUUUUGACUAUUUAUCCUGCUAUCAGUCAAUUUCUCCUUGCCUCUGUCUACAUGUACAUAGUGUAUCUACCUUAACCACUCCAGUAUCCCUGCAUAUUGUACAUUUGGCACUGGCACGGACCCUGUAUAUAGCUUCAUGUCUCGUGUUUUUCUUAUUUCUUGUGUGUUUAAAAAAAAUCUACUUCAUACUAUUUGAUAUUGAACACUGAAUUUUUGGGAAAGAGCUAGCAAGUAAGCAUUUCACUACUUGUGCAUGUGACAAAACUCUAAACUAAUUUCAAACGUCUGAGUAACUGUUGAUCAAUUUGAUUAAUUAACUUUAAUGUGACACUUGUAAUGAAUAAAGUAUGCUUUUUUGGACAAAGUGAACUUGCAUCUCUCUUGCCCUUUUGAAUAAACAUAUUGUAUGUUGUAUCCACCAGAAGUGUCCACCAGAAAGAAAAUAUAUUUGUCUUCUAGGGCUCCGGGCAGCCGAGCGGAAAUGGAGGAAAACUCGCCUCCCUGCGGACCUGGCAUACUUUCACUCCCUCCUCUCUACAUUUUCCUCCUCUGUCUCUGCUGCUAAAGCCACUUUCUACCAUUCUAAAUUCCAAGCAUCUGCCUCUAACCCUAGGAAGCUCUUUGCCACCUUCUCCUCCCUCC